rnacentral:rRNA from 1 species
GAUGAACGCUGGCGGCGUGCCUAAUACAUGCAAGUCGAGCGAACGGACGAGAAGCUUGCUUCUCUGAUGUUAGCAGCGGACGGGUGAGUAACACGUGGAUAACCUACCUAUAAGACUGGGAUAACUUCGGGAAACCGGAGCUAAUACCGGAUAAUAUUUUGAACCGCAUGGUUCAAAAGUGAAAGACGGUCUUGCUGUCACUUAUAGAUGGAUCCGCGCUGCAUUAGCUAGUUGGUAAGGUAACGGCUUACCAAGGCAACGAUGCAUAGCCGACCUGAGAGGGUGAUCGGCCACACUGGAACUGAGACACGGUCCAGACUCCUACGGGAGGCAGCAGUAGGGAAUCUUCCGCAAUGGGCGAAAGCCUGACGGAGCAACGCCGCGUGAGUGAUGAAGGUCUUCGGAUCGUAAAACUCUGUUAUUAGGGAAGAACAUAUGUGUAAGUAACUGUGCACAUCUUGACGGUACCUAAUCAGAAAGCCACGGCUAACUACGUG